AGAGUUUGAUCAUGGCUCAGAACGAACGCUGGCGGCGUGGAUAAGACAUGCAAGUCGAGCGCUGAUUUCACUGUAGCAAUACAGUGGAGUUGGAGCGGCGCAAGGGUGCGUAACACGUGGGUAAUUUGCCGUGAAGUUGGGGAUAACUCGCUGAAAGGCGAGCUAAUACCGAAUGUGAAGUUUGGGUGGCAUCACCUGACCUUUAAAGCUGGGGAUCGUAAGACCUGGCGCUUUAUGAUAAGCCCGCGGCCUAUCAGCUAGUUGGUGAGGUAACGGCUCACCAAGGCUAAGACGGGUAGCUGGUCUGAGAGGACGACCAGCCACACUGGAACUGAGACACGGUCCAGACACCUACGGGUGGCAGCAGUCGAGAAUUUUUCUCAAUGGGCGCAAGCCUGAAGGAGCGACGCCGCGUGGGGGAUGAAGGGUUUCGAUCCGUAAACCCCUGUCAUUUGUGAACAAUGGUUAUUAUUUAAAAGAUGAUGACUUGAUAGUAAUGAAAGAGGAAGGGACGGCUAACUCUGUGCCAGCAGCCGCGGUAAUACAGAGGUCCCGAGCGUUGUUCGGAUUCACUGGGCGUAAAGGGUGCGUAGGUGGCUUGAAAAGUUUGAUGUGAAAGCUCAGGGCUUAACCCUGAAAUGGCAUUGAAUACUGUCGAGCUGGAGGUUUGGAGGGGGGACUGGAAUUCUUGGUGUAGCAGUGAAAUGCGUAGAUAUCAAGAGGAACACCAGUGGCGAAGGCGAGUCCCUGGACAACACCUGACACUGAGGCACGAAAGCUAGGGGAGCAAACAGGAUUAGAUACCCUAGUAGUCC
rnacentral:rRNA from 1 species